rnacentral:rRNA from 1 species
CCUACGGGUGGCAGCAGUGGGGAAUAUUGGACAAUGGGCGAAAGCCUGAUCCAGCCAUGCCGCGUGUGUGAAGAAGGCCUUCGGGUUGUAAAGCACUUUCAGUGGGGAAGAAAGCCUUGGGGCUAAUACCCUCGAGGAAGGACAUCACCCACAGAAGAAGCACCGGCUAACUCCGUGCCAGCAGCCGCGGUAAUACGGAGGGUGCGAGCGUUAAUCGGAAUUACUGGGCGUAAAGCGCGCGUAGGCGGUCUGAUAAGCCGGUUGUGAAAGCCCCGGGCUCAACCUGGGAACGGCAUCCGGAACUGUCAGGCUAGAGUGCAGGAGAGGAAGGUAGAAUUCCCGGUGUAGCGGUGAAAUGCGUAGAGAUCGGGAGGAAUACCAGUGGCGAAGGCGGCCUUCUGGACUGACACUGACGCUGACGUGCGAAAGCGUGGGUAGCAAACAGGAUUAGAUACCCCAGUAGUC